GCGAUUUUACUAAAAACGAAUAUUUGAGCACUAAUCUCGCGCAGUUCAAAGCAAUUCGAUCAAAUAAUCGAACGAAUUUCAUAUCGCAAGUGUAAUUUCAGGCCGAAUAUAAAGUAAUCUUAUUUAUACAGAACAUUCGAAUUCGAAAGUUCAAAAUAACGUUCUAAUUCUGGAAUACUUAAGAAUUGUGUAAUAAUAGCCCAACAAGAACGGAAUGAAUAAUUCGAAGAUUGGUAAUUGGUUUUGCUCUGUGCAAACAGUCGAGAAUUCAAAUGGCUCGACCAGAGAUGAUGGGGCUCGUGAUAGUAAAAAUUUGAUUUAUACUGAUGAUGAUAAAGAUAAGAAUUCAUUCACAUCCAAAAUUUAUUCUAUUUUUGUAUAUCAAGCUUCUUUAAUGUUCUCUAUUUUAAAAUAUUCAGCGAAAAAUACUCUAGUCUCUGCCAAACUCACACGUGUGAUCUCUAAGCAAUGAGGAGUGGAUCUUAAAUAUCGGCGUUGUCGUGAGUGAUAAUAAAGACAUGUUUAUGACACGGCAAAUCAUAGAGUUUGGAUCGUGGACGAAACCGGAAAGAGAAAGGCCUUCGGCAGUCGUUACGCUUCAAAAUGGGAUAUAGUUAUCAAAGAUGACAAUUUGCUUCACUUUUACGAUUCUAAUGGGACGUUCAUCAAAAAUAUUUGCAAAAGAAUAUUAAGCAGGCCUUUCGGAUUGGUGCUGACAGAAGACGAAAAGUUAGUGACCCUAAGCGAGAGUAGGCAGCCGAAGUUGUACUGUACGUGUUUAACAAAGACGGUCAGCUGGAACAUAAGAGCUAUUAUCAGCCACUAUGGAACAGGCCAAAAAAUUCGAAAUGUCGUUUCAUGGUCACGUACAAUAACGAGUUGGUCUUAUACUUUGUGCAACCCCAUCCCCCUUUAAACUGUAUACGUAAAUAAUGAACUGCACCUUAAAGGCAAUUCAGAUCAGGACAUCGUUUCUCUUUCAUUCGUGUUAGCUGACUUUAUAUUUGCGGCGUUGGUUGACAUGGCUUGGCCUAUAAUGUGCUAGUGCUUUACAUUAAUUAAUCGAUCUCUCUAUCCAAAAAAAAAUUGCAAAUAAUAAGUUACUAAUAAGCAGCGUUGCAAGAAUUUGCUGUUUGCAGUUAUGGAAAUGACAGAAAAGGCAACAGUGUAAAUGGAUUUUAAAGGCAUAACACGAACAUUUAUUUUUUGUUGAAUGGCAUCCCAAUAUUUUGUACUGUCUACUGAAGCUUAAAAACAUUAAUAACAGCUUUGCUGCACUCUGGCAUAGAGUGGAUGAGUUUCUUUAAGUAUUCUAUAACAAGUUGUUGAUACCAACCCUACUUCUAAUAUAUGUUGCGGCGACAAAUCACGGACUGGUGAGAUGGCCACUCCUCUACGAGUUUUCCGUGAAUCCCGGAUGGAAAAACGGGGACUGGGUUUUUCCCAGAGAGAAUUCUGGGUAUUGUUGCUUCUUCUUCUUGUCGGGUGAUCGCUGCCAUGAACACGUGUAGCUCUCUUUCAAGUGUACUCGAGGAUUGUUGUAAAUAAAUGUUGUUUUAGUUUAAAACGUGGUCGUGGACUUAACUAAUUCACGUUUACAGCCUUCUGAUAAAGACAGUCUUUGUGGAGAUGUAAAUGGAUGGAGAAAGACGGCCAGGUUUCGUCUAACUGACGGCGGCCAUCCAUUACCUCCAAUGUGAUUGCUGUUUAUUUUCAGACGCUAUCGACAUAGUUUAGAUGGAGCAUAGACCUUAUUUUAUAGUCAGUUGUACAGCUUCGAAAGGGGAAACAGUUUACAAAAUUUAUUAGUAAAUAAAUCCUUGCUUC
rnacentral:lncRNA from 1 species